rnacentral:rRNA from 1 species
CCCCAGACUCCUACGGGAGGCAGCAGUGAGGAAUAUUGGUCAAUGGGCGGGAGCCUGAACCAGCCAAGCCGCGUGAGGGAAGAAGGUACAGCGUAUCGUAAACCUCUUUUGUCAGGGAACAAAGGCGGGGACUAGUCCCCGGAUGAGGGUACCUGAAGAAAAAGCAUCGGCUAACUCCGUGCCAGCAGCCGCGGUAAUACGGAGGAUGCGAGCGUUAUCCGGAUUUAUUGGGUUUAAAGGGUGCGUAGGUGGUUAAUUAAGUCAGCGGUGAAAGUUUGUGGCUCAACCAUAAAAUUGCCGUUGAAACUGGUUGACUUGAGUAUAUUUGAGGUAGGCGGAAUGCGUGGUGUAGCGGUGAAAUGCAUAGAUAUCACGCAGAACUCCGAUUGCGAAGGCAGCUUACUAAACUAUAACUGACACUGAAGCACGAAAGCGUGGGGAUCAAACAGGAUUAGAUACCCCAGUAU